UCGAAAUGUAUAUAAGAAAUACUCAAGUUAAUAAAAAAAAAAAAAAAAAAAAAGAGCUGUUGUAUUGUGAGGGUUCUGCCUUUGGAAAGGAUUAGUGUGCAUCCUGAGAGUGAGCCCUUAGAAAACUCCCGCGCCCACCCCAUUUGUACUUUCACUCUAUUCAUACUCCUACUUGCCCUCUCAUUUCUGGCAUAUUAAGCAGCAUGAUGCCUUCAUCACCUUCACGGUUGCCCAACCUUGAACUUUUCAGCUUUCAUAACCUUCAGCCAAAACAAAGUGUCUUGUAUGUUACCUAGUCUCUGUUAUUGUUAAGCAGAAGAAAGGAGAGUCAGCCAAAUGGUUUCUCCCCUUCCAUAUUCACCUCUUGAUGAUGACAGUGCUCUCAUAUGCAAAAUGGGCCGGCACCCCUUACCUUAUCUAUCUGGGGGGGAUGUAUUUCUGCACGUGACAGAAAUGAUCCUAUGUCGAAAGCUCAGGAAUAGGAGGCAUCUUAACUUCUGUUUUGCUGGCUGAAAUAUUGGCUUUUGAAGUUUUCAGUGGUCACAUAAGAAAUGUGACUCACCGAGGACCCCAUGGUGGGAGGAAGCCCUAAGCAACCUAUGGGAGGAACCCAAUAAAGAUGUUCAGGGAUCCUGCAGAACAGAGCCAGAUGCUCUGGUGUCCUGCAGUCUCAGCUACAGCCACCAGCAUUUGACUGCAACUGCUUGAGAGAGUGUUAGCCAGACCCAACCAUCUGGGCUCCCUCACAAAUUCCUGAUUCACAGAGAGAGAUAAUAAAAUAGGAACUGGGGGUUUUGCCACUAACAGUAGAAAAUAUAACAUAUGGUGUUCUGGUAACCAUCUUUUUUAAAAAAAAUCUCAUCCUACUACCAUUUAUAAAAUAAUCAACCCUUUGCUUGUCCAUUCAACAAUAGUGCCCUGUUAAUGAUUCUCUAUUCUUUGGUCUAUUUCUGAACACUUCCCUCUGUCUAUCUUGGUAUAGACGUAGAUCCACUAUUCCUACACAAUACCUAUAUAAAGCCCUAUCCUCACACCUCUACUGCAUCAUUUUAUAUAUUGCCGUGUGAUACAUUUUUAUAGAAUUCCCUUCUUCAAUAGUGGGCCUCUUGUCUCCUAUAUGAAUUUUAGAUUUGUUGAUGCCAAAAAAUAAACACCGGACUUUUAUUUGAGCUUUUCUUAUAAUUAUUACCUUAUUUUAAACUAUUAAGGUGUCUCCAGAAGCUUGAUACAUGGUUUUUGUGCAUAUUUAAACUUCUGCCAUGUUUUUUCAGUAAUUUUUCAUUUUAUUUCUUUAUAUAACUCUGGGAAUUCCUUGGCAAACUUAUUCUCAAGCAUAUUCUAUUUCUGUCCCUAGUGCUAUUAGAUCACACACACGCACACACGUACACACACGCACACUCACACAUACGUAUACUCACACACACACGCACAUGCACUCGUACACACACACACACACACACACACACACACACACACACACACACCACUUUCUUCCCCAAAAGGCACAUUGCAGAAAUAUUGUUUAUUUAUCUUUACCUUGCAGAACUCCCGGUUAGUAAUAGCUCUUCAACUUAUUUUCACAAAUAAACUGGAUAGAUUGUUUUGUUUCCAAGUAAACAAUCAUAUCUUCUGCAAAUAAUUAUAAUUUUGCUGUCUAUCAUAUCAUUUUUAUGCCUCAUUUCACAGGCCUGUUUUGUUCUAUUGGCUAAAAGCUUCAGAAACAAAAUAAUCAAUGGUCAUAAAUUUUAAAAAUAAAAUACAGGUAAAGCAUUUGUAGAGAUGGCCUUACCUAUAAGCCACUUUCACAGUAAAGCUUCAAGGAGAACCAUACAAAAAAUAUCCCAUGGAGAUCCAGCUAUCUCACUCCUGACCAAAUGCUGGAAAGGAAACAAAAAUGACUGACAAUGGAGAACCCCGAAGACCCAAACUUCUAUAGCACUUCUCAAAAUAUCCACGUUACGGGACCAACCCAGUUGUCCAUCAGCCAAUGAAUGAAGAACAUGAGAAAACACAAAACGGUUAUUCAGGCUUAAAAACAGUGAAAUCGAAUCAUGUGCCAGAAAGAAAAAGAAUGGAUACAAUUGCAGAUUGUUGUGUUAAGCAAAGUAACCUGUUUCAGACAUAAAAAUGUUGCAUGUCUUUUCUCAUAGAUGGAAUCUAGCCCAAAGGUGGGAGAUCUAAAACCUGAAGACGUUUAGGAAGUGGGAAAGGGAACAAUAGUAGGUAACAGUGGCUAAUUUGAUCAAAUCACAGUAUAUGUGUGUCUCAAGUAUCACAGUGAAACUCAUUAUUUUGUAUACUUAACAUGCACUGAUAUGCAUUAAAAUAGAGCCAAAACUGUAAGAAGGGAUUAGGCUGAAGCACUCCAUCCUUGUUAAUGGGGUCUUUAUAACUGACUUUCAUUGUCUGCUACUAUGUCAGAGCAGACAAAAUGGCCACAGUGAGCCGGAAGUCAGUGCCUGGAUUUUGCACUUCCUGUUCUCCAGAACUGUAAAGAAUAACAGCCUGUCACAAGAACAAUCCAGUCACAACUAAACGCCCAAUUACAAGUUACAAAACCUACCAGUAAUAUUUUUUUUAAAAUCUGUUACUUAGAAAAUUCAACUGCUAGUAUCUGACUUACCUAAAAAUCAAAUCUACCAAUAACUUGGAAUUUUUUUCACGAUAUAUCAAGGAUAGUCAAUAUACUUUCUAUAAAAACGCAAGGGUCAUGAACACCAAAGAUAAAAAUAUAAGGGGUUUUGCAAACUCUACUGAGCUAUCUCUGACACAUGCAUGUCUAAGGAGCAGAACAUCCAGCAGCAAGCCACACUCAAGGAGAAGUCAAGCUAAAAGCCAAAACAGGGCAACAGAUUAGAGCACAGCUAGCAGCUUGUUCGCUAGCUUGGUGCUAGCACACUUACCGAGCAUUUACUAGGCUCUGUCCUCGGUCACCACCACCACGACCACCCCCACAAUAGUGCCAGGAAAAAAAAUACAUACAGUGAAACUGAUAUAGAAACUUAGGGUUUCAAUAAUAUAGAGUAUUGUAUUAUAUCUCCUGAUUAAACAGCAUCAAACAAAUGUAAAUGAAAUAUCACUAGUAGAAAUCAUUAAAUGAUCUCUAAGUGAGAGAGAGGAGUUACCUUUCCACGGGAGUUUGAAGCGUGGGCAAGAUUCCAGAAUAUGAAAAUAGUGCAGGCCGGAAAGUUGGACAGAGGAACCAGUGAAUAUCCUGGACUGAGUAGAAAGAAGACCAGAAUGAGGCAGAUAAUGUCACACUAAGAACAGAGGUCAGAGACAUUAACAUGAGAAAAGAACUUCCCCUGUACCCUACUCUGUCUUCAGGAACUUCCUUUGUGGUAUACCCGCCAAGGGUCCCAGCAAUAACAUUAGACACUACGUUUGGGUCAUGGAUGUCUUUGUGAGGUUUUCUACAUGAAGGGGAAUGCUCAGGCAAAAUCUUCAAGAAGAAAAACUCCCUAACAACAUUUAAAACUGAGAAAGGAAGUGUCUGGAAACCAGAGGCUUGGAAGAGGUUUGCUGAAGAAUAUACCCCAUGAUAUGCCUUUCCUCUCUGCAGCCUCCUGCUCAAGGAACACUGUCCCCAUCACCUGUCCUAAGUUAAUCGACUGACCACCCUGUUGUGUCCUGUUGAUAUUUUCAACAUCAGGUAGAGCAUCUCAGCAGGCCCACACCGAAUGCAUCAACUCAAUGUCAAGGUAGAAGUGGGACGGUGUACUAACAGGGAAGCCAUGAGAUUGAAAUCCGUCAGUUUGACUGCAUGAAAACAGCAGUUCUGAGCUGGCCUCUAGCAGUGCCGGGCAUGGUCUACAGAUGCUGGUCAAGGCAGUCACUUUUGUUUGCUUUGUUUCUGUUUCCGUUUUGUUAUUUUGCUCGGGCUUCGUCACAGCAAUAGUCCCACCUAGUCCUGUUGUGUCUGUUGGCAUCAGAAGUAGUUUACAGUCAGCCUCUGAAUCCAGUGAUGAUGUCAUCCCUAAGCAACAAGGACCCACUUGUGUCUGUUGCCACGGCAACCGCCUCACCUGUGCGCCUCACCUGUGCGCCUCACCUGUGCGCCUCACCUGUGCACAGUGGUGCAUGUGAUUACCUCACAAACCAGAUAAAAGGCAAAGUCACGACACCUCCCCCUACUUCUCCUUCUUUCUCUUUCUUCUCUUCCCCACCUCACCCCAAUAAACCUCUUCUUGUGGGACUAUGGUAGCCUGGCAUGAUAUGUCUGGCUAUUUUAUUUUUUAACUUUUCAAAUGUUAUCCCCUUUCCCUGUUUCCUCUAGAAACCCCCUAUCCCAUCCCUACUCCCCCUGCUUCUAUGAGGGUGCUCCCCCACCCACCCAAUCCCGCCUCCCCACCCUGACAUUCCCCUACACUGGGUCAUCAAUCCUUCCCAGGACCAAGGGCCUCUCCUCCCUUUGAUGUCCAAUAAGGUCAUCCUCUGCUACAUCUGUGGCUGGAGCCAUGAGUCCCUCCAUGUGUACUCUUUGGUUGGGUGGUUUAGUCCCUGGGAGCUCUGGGGAGUCUGGUUGGUUGAUAUUGUUGUUCUUCCUGGGGGUUGCAAACUUUUUCAGCUCCAUCAGUCCUUUCUCUAACUCCUCCAUUGGAGACCCCAUUCUCAGUCCAAUGAUUGGCUGUGAAUGGAUGUGAAUGGAGUGAAAGGAUGAUAAAAAAUAUUCCAAGCCAAACGCUGGGUCCUGUUUACAUGUCCAGUCUGUUAGUCUGUCUUUUUAUUCGGGGAUUGAGUCCAUUGAUGUUGAGAAGUAUUAAGGAAAAGUGACUGUUGCUUCCUGUUAUUUUUGCUGUUAGAGGUGGAAUUAUGUUUGUGUGGCUAUCUUAUUUUAGGUUUGUUGAAAGAUUGCUUUCUUACUUUUUCUAGGGUGUAGUUUCCCUCCUUGUGUUGGAGUUUUCUAUUAUCUUUUGUAGGGCUGGAUUUGUGGGAAGAUGUCUAAAUUUGGUUUUGUCAUGGAAUAUCUUGGUUUCUCCAUCUAUGUUAAUUGAGAGUUUUGCUGGAUACAGUAGCCUGGGCUGGCAUUUGUGUUCUCUUAGGGUCUGUAUGACAUCUGCCCAGGAUCUUCUGGCUUUCAUAGUCUCUGGUGAGAAGUCUGGUGUAAUUCUAAUAUGUCUGUCUUUAUAUGUUACUUGACCUUUUUCCCUUACUGCUUUUAAUAUUCUUUCUUUGUUUUGCACAUUUGGUGUUUUAACUGUUAUGUGACGGGAGGAAUUUCUCUCCAAUCUAUUUGUAGUUCUGUAGGCUUCUUGUAUGUUCAUGGGCAUCUCUUUCUUUAGGUUAAGGAAGUUUUCUUCUAUAAUUUUUCUAUAAGUAUUAUCCUUAGGUUUGAUCUUCUCAUUGUGUCCUGGAUUUCCUGUAUUUUUUGGGCUAGGAGCUUUUUGCAUUUUGCAUUUUCUUUGACUGUUCUGUAAAUGUUUCCUAUGGUAUCUUUUGCCCCUGAGGUUCUCUCUUCUAUCUCUUAUAUCGUUGGUGAUGCUUGCAUCUCUGACUCCUGACCUCUUUCCUAGGUUUUCUAUCUCCAGGGUUGUCUCCCUUUGUGAUUUCUUUAUUGGUUCUAUUUCCAUUUUUAGAUCCUGGGUGUUUGUUUGUGUUUUUCUGUAAUUUUCAAAUGACUUUUUGUGUUUCCUCUUUAAGGGCUUCUACUUGUUUACCUGUGUUCUCCUGUAUUUCUUUAAGGGAGUUAUUUAUGUCCUUCCUAAAGUCCUCUAUCAUCAUCAUGAAGUGUGAUCUUAAAUCCAAAUCUUGUUUUUUUGGUGUGAUGGGGUAUCCAGGACUUGCUGUGGUGGGAGAACUGGGUUCUGAUGAUGCCAAGUAGCCUUGGUUUCUGUUGUUUAUGUUCUUUUACUUGCCUCUUGACAUCUGGUUAUUUCUAGGGCUCCCUGCCCUUGCUGUCUUUGACUGGAGCCUAUCCCUCCUAAGAUCUUGAUUGUGUCAGAACUCCUUAGACUGCAGCUGUCUCUGUCAUCCUGUGAUUCUGGGAUCCUAUGAUCCUGAGAUCCUGGGUGUUUCAGAGCUCCUGGGAGUCAAGCUUUCUCAGGGUGUUUUAGAAGUACCGAGUGGGCAGCCAGAGCCCUGGGUUUGCUCUGGGCACUGGUGCAAACUGGAAGGAACCUAUGUCUCUGGCUGGCUGAGGGGUUUGUGUUAGCCUGGUUACUGUGGGGGUCCCAGUUAUUCUGGGUGUUGGAAAAGAUGCUGUGACCUUAACUGUGAUCUUGAGUGUCAGAGCUCCACUAUUCCUGAUUGUAUCUGAUCUCCUGGGAAUUGAGCUUUCUCUGUGAUCCUAUGAUCCUGGGCAUUUCAGAGCACAUGGGAGUCAGGCUGCCUCUGGGAGUUGUAAGAGUGAAUCCUGCAUCCUGCAUCCUGCAUCCCUGGAUCCUGGGGGACCCAGUUCCUCUGGGUGUUGGUGUAGAUGUUGUGACCUCUCCUGUGAUCCUUGGUAUUUCAGAGCACCUGGGAGCCUGGCUCCCUCUGGGUGUUGUGUGAGUGACAGAUCAUCUUCCUAAUAUUUACUUCUUCUGACUAUAUGAAGACUUUCUUUGCUACCCAUGGGAAACAAAAGUUGGGUCUGCAAGAAUUCAUGCAACUAGGACACACAGCAGUGUAGUGGGUUGACUACUGGCUUCACAAAAACAAUAUGCCCCAUUCUUCAGCCCCAGCAUUUGUGAACAUGAGCUAAUUUGGGAAAGGAUUUUUUGCAUAUGAUUUGGCUAAAGAUACCAAGAUGAAGUCACUGUAUUUUAGGUAUAUUCAUUCAAGACAGUGAAGAGGGAGACCAGUGGGAAUCUUGAUUGUCAACUUGUUGAAAAAGAUACCAAAGAGACUCAUAAAGAUCACUUACAUGUCCGUGAGGGUGUUACUAGACAUGAUUGGCAUGUGGGACAGCACCUGCAGCUGAAAAAUAACAUUCUUAAAUGUGAGAAACACUAUCCAAGAGUCUACCAGUACCUGUGGGCAAAAGCAAAGGAGGAAGGUCUGGGCAUGUGAAAGUUCAACUGCUCUCCAAAUGAGUGUAUUUCUUCCUGUGGUUGUUACCGGUGAUUUCUGCCACGCACUCAGCUUUGGAGUCCACAUGAUAGGACUAUUGCUGCAUGUCCUGGUUGCAUGAACUAUUUCAGGUCAAACCUCUGUUUCUCAUGGAUAGCGGAGAAAGUCUUUGUAUAGUCAGAAGAAUUGAAUAUUUGAAAAAUUAUUUUUUAGAUUAAUCUUUUUAAUAUUUUCCUUGUUGGGUUGCAAUACCAUUAGCAAUUUGGCACAAACACAACACAACAAAAACAGAAACAGUGCCAGACUCCGAUUCUUCAGCUUCACAGUGUGGCCCAACCCCAGCUACUCUCUGGAACACCCCUAAGCCUCCAGCCUCCUACUGGGGCUGAAUCAUCGCUCCUCCUUGUUCUGAGGUUUCCAUCUUCUUAUUCCGAGCAGUGGAAGGGCUACAGAUGGAUCUGGCCCUUCAGCCUAUAGAUAUUCACUGUGUGAAGAUACAGCCUUAGAUGGUGUAAGCUCUUUCAUAAUAUACGCACAUACAUACAGAACCCCGACCAACACAGAUUUUGCUACUAGGAGUAGAGAGACUUGGAUGUUAGUUAUUCUACUUGACCAUGUGGUUCAGAAGCCUUGGAAGUGACUUAUGGGAGGAAUUUGGAAAAGUUUAGAGAAGCGGGCUAGAGAGAGCCUAGAGACCAGUAAACCGAGCUUAACAGACAUUUCAGUGCAAGCUCAGUAGAACAGAACACUGAUAGGAAUGUGCACACUAAUGACUAAGCUCCAGGAAUCACAGAUGGGAGCGAGGAAUCCCCUAAGAACCAGACUAGAGGCAACCAUACUACGUUCUUACAAAUAACUUACCUUUGCAGGGAUUUCGUCCGUGCACUGAGACUAUAAGGCUGGGCUUCAAAAGGGCAAAUCUAAUUAAUACAGGGGAAGAAAUUUCAAGGCAGCAUAACAUCCUAGCUGUGGUACAGGAUUAAUAACUGUUUUUUUAAUAAGAUUGAUUACAAGAAGCAGGAAUAAAGAAACAUAUUUGACGAACUUGCACUUUUUGCAAAAUAAACUUAUGAUUAAAUUUAGGGCUAAGGAAAAUGAAGUUACUAAAGAUAUUUGGUGUUGCCAUAAUGCAGAAUAUGUCACACAAAAUUAAUAGGGAAGAUUCCUGGUGCGUCUCUCAGGAAUUGGCUGGACCUCAUCCACAACAGGUUUAGGGUUGUAAAUGUUUUAACUUAUUCGAAAGGCUACUUUAUUUUAAGAGAACACUGGGGUACCCUGAUUGCCUAUGCAUGCCUACUAAUGUGUUUUCCUGAUGGUUAGCCAGCCAUUGAGGUACAAAUGCAAAGGCCAACACAGUCAUGAUCCAAGUUACUCAGGCAGUUGGCAGACCUUAGUGUUGUCCACAUCUGAGAGAUCAGAAAAUGUUUGAUGAAGUCGGAUUCUCCACAUAAAAUCCUGACAAGGUAGGUAAUUCACGAAGCAGGUGAGUGAAGUUCAAAGUAGAGAUCUAAGAAGUCAAGAACAUCUAUUAACAAGGACCAUUUGUCAAGAAAAGCUAAAGACAGCAGACAGACUCAACCCAGGAAUGAAACCAUGUGGAAUGCAUCUUGUAUAGCCACCAGACAAGGACUUGCCAAGCCCCCUUGGAGCUUAUAACACAUGACCACAAGCCCAGUCACAUAACAGAACCACGUGAUCUCAUGUUUGCUCUGUUGGGUUUUGAUCCUAGCCUUCCCUCUACCACCUUAGCUGUUUCACUGAAAAUUGAAAUGUCUAUCCUGUAUCAUUGUGUACUCAAAAUCUGAUUUGUCUUUUGAGUUUUGCUUAGCUGAAAGAUUUCCUUGAGUGUCAGAGGGAAAUUUUGACCUUGUACUUUUGAAUUAAGGCUGGUACUGUCAAGGCUGUGGAAAUUGGAGAUAAACUGAAUACAUUUGUAUUCCAGAACAGAUAUGAGCCUCUGGGGGUGGGGGGAAGGGGACAGAAGUGGAGCAUUUGAGGUUAGAUGCGAAUAGUCCCUCAAGAGGUGCAUCCAUUCAAUUAUUCCAUCAAUAAACUCAUAGCUGAUGAGAUAGGACCUACUUGUAGGAAGUACAAUACAAUCUGUCCAUUAUGUGUAAUCUCCCAUCCCUGGGUUCUAGCUCUGGCUUCCUGUUUCCUGGUUGCCAUGUGAGGAGGAGCUUCCUUCCCUCCAUCAUGGCGUUCUACCCUCAGAUUCUGCUUUGCCACAAACCUAAAAGCAAGGGAGCUAGAUUAACAUGGGCUGGAACUGGAGAAACAAUGAGCCAACAUAAACUCUUUCUCCUCUCAACUGUUUUUCUAGGCCUUUUGUCUCAGCAGUGAAAAGCUUGCUUACACAGGUGAGGGGUCUCAAGAAAACAGAAGCAAGAAGAGAGCCACGCGGCUAUAAACCAAGGAACAAUAACAAUUGCUGGAAGCCACCAGAAGACACAAGUCUCACAGACUCUUCAAAGGAAUGGAAAUGAAGAUUCAAGUAGAUACGAGUGUCUCGGACCUCAGAGAACCAGCAAGUCCCCUUUUUAAGAGAAUUCCCCAAUAAGCACAGGAUUGAAAACAGAGGCCUAGCUUUAAUCUUGGUUUCCAGACCUGUCUCUGAGGGCCCCGUCCAAGUGCGAUACUCAGAAGUGGGAUACUAAGAAGCUUGACUUGAGGAUUAUCUUAUCACUGUGCUCUCCAGGGACACAAUGUGAAGCAGAACUGCUACCUUAGCCCAAAGUUGCCCCCAACACCGUGGGUACUGAGAACCUAGCGCUGGAUAACAUACUACACUACUGUGAUGACUGGGUAAGAGCAGGUGACGAUGAGCCAGUAGUUGCUGUUGAAGUGUUUGGUAAAAAGUACACAGUGCAUUAAGAGUUAGGGGUACAAGCAGAACACACAUUUGGGACUCACCUAAAACUGUGAAGGCAUGCAUUCAUAGUAUGAGUAGGAUUAAAAGUUAGAAAAAAAAAGCCCACAUAAUUCUUCUCAAAAGACUGCAAAUACUGUGUGUGUGUGUGUGUGUGUGUGUGUGUGUGUGUGUGUGUGUCAGUGUGGGGGUGGAGGGAGGUGUGUUUGUGCUGAGUGUAUUUGUGUGGUUUGUGUGUGUGUUUGUGUGGUUUGCAUAUGUGAUGUCUGUAUGUAUGUGCAGUUUGUAUCUGUGAUGUGUAUGUGUUUGUGUGGUUUGUGUGUUUGUGUGUUUGUGCUGUGUUUGUGCUGUGUGUGUUUGUGUGGUUUGUGUGUGUGAUGUGUGUAUGUGUUUGUGUGGUUUAUGUGUGUGAUAUAUGUUUCUGUGGUGUUUGUAGUGUGUGUGAAUGGUAUCUCUCUAUGUGUAUGUGUCUCUAUGUAUAUUUGGUUAUAGGUAGGAUGGUGAGGAUUAAUUAAGGAGAAAAUGAUAUCGUUAAAUAUAAAUUUCGAUCAUGAAAUUUAACACCUAUAUUUUUUAUCUUCAAAAAUGGAAAUCCAGGGGCCUAUGAGAUGUCUCAGUGGGCAAAGGUGAUUUCUGCCAACCCUGGCAGCCUGCCUUGGAACUCAGGGACACACAUGGUGGAAGAAAAGAAUAAACUCUCUUGAUUUGCCCUCUGAUUCAACAUGUGUGCUUGGACAUCCCCCUUCAAAAAAUAAAAUACUUAAUGUUGAUACCUUUGACAUUAGGCAAAUGCUAUAUGUAAUUGGGUUUUGUUUUGUUUGUUUUUGGUUGGUUUUUGGUUUUGUUUUGUUUUGUUUUGUUUUGUUUUGUUUUUUCAUUUCCCCAAGACAGGGUUUCUUUAUGUAGCCCUGGAUGACCUGAAACUUAUUCUGUAGACCAGGCUGGCCUCAAAAUCUCAAACUCACAGCCAUCCGUCUGCCUCUGACUCAGUGCUAAGAUUAAGGGCGUGUGCCCCUGCUGCCCAGAAGCUUUCUUUUCUUGGAGGGGGGGAGUUUGUUCGAUAUCACAGAGUUGGGGUACUUUCAUUUCAAAUGCUUUGUAAAGGAUCAGUCCCAGUGUAAAGCCCAGAGUACUUUAUUAUGAAGUCACUGGUACCGUAUCAUUAGUCUUGCUUGUUACUAAGCAAUUGAGGAAGACAGCACUUUAAAACAUCCAGAAAAAAACGAAUUCCUGACUUCAGAAAAAAGCAAUCAUUGUUUUGCAAAUGAAAAUCCUUUUCCUCAAUCCAGCCAGUAACUUAAUCUUCAGAUGCAAAUGUGGUGUCCAUACACUAACCUGAGGAGGAAGCAUCUGUCUGCCUCAGUGCCAGCAACAUAUCUCACCUUGACAGUUAUUAAUUUCUAGUCAAAUUAUCCUGGAAUAGGGUCAAAGACAACUCAUGGUUUUCCUUUACAUUCUAGGAUAUGUUGUGUUUCGGUGUUCAGAAUGAAGCGUUCUAUAAAGAGCUGACGCUGAAACCGGAAGCCUCUGUGUCCUCUCCACAAGACAGUAGCCAGAUUAAUAAAUGCACUGACACUUUGCUAUGUAUGUGUCCUGUAAACUACCAAAAAACCUAUCAGGUUGUUUGUUCCUUCUUAAUCUAAACAAACAAAUUUCCGGCUUUAUAUACUAAGCAAAGAGAACUAAAAGAUCUGUUACUCUUUUCCUUCUCCUUGUUAUCCUUUGAAUUUGAACAUUUUAAUGUAUUAUUCUUAAAAAUAUAUAUUAAAAUGUUUAAUAUGUUUAUAUUUAUAAAUAUAUUAAAAUGAUAUAUAUAUCAUCUCUACUCCUUUUCUCCCCUUUAAGCCCCUCCCAGACUACCUCCAUAUCCUUCUCCUAACUUCAUGUCCUCUUAUUUUGUUAUUUAUAAUACACUGACGUCAAUUAAUGCUGCAUAUGAGUGCUAUCCACGGAAGCAAGGAGAACCAACCAGGGACCACAACUACGAAGAAAAUUAACUCCCUAUUAAACUAUUGUUUGGUUUGAUCUGGUACAGGUCAUAAUAGGAAGCUACAGUUGCUGUGAUAUCGUGUGUGUGAUGUCUUUCCAUCUCUUAUCCAGAAGACAGUUUCAUGGCUAUCCUCCUCACAGCGAUCUGGCUCUUUGAGCAGUGGUUCUCCUCCUUCCUAAUGCUGCAAGCCAUUAAUACAAUUCCUCAGGCUGUGGUGACCCCGACCAUAAAAUUAUUUCCAUUGCUACUUCAGAAUUAUGCUACUGUUGUAAAUUAUAAUGUAAAUAUUUGGUAUACAGGAUAUAUGACAUACAACCCCUGUGAAAGGAUCUUUUGACCCGGAUAGUAGCAGGCCACGGGUUGAGAGUCACUGCUCUUAGAGUCUUUCUGAGGCCUCUUUUUCAUGUUACCUUGACCCUUGCAGGGAGAUAAUGUAGACGACAGUGGUGCUCAGCCCUAAAUAGAAUAUUGAUAUGAAGCCUCAUUCCCUCAAGGGUCAGGGAACAACAUGAAUCAGGAAUUCGUCCUAACUCUCAAUGGCAUAGUCCUUGCAGUUUAAGUUCUGUCAUGGUAACAUUAGUGUAUUCAACUCUUACGGCAGUCUUUUCAGGUGGCUUGCAAAAAAUUAAAAAAAAAAACUAUAUCUUACAUCGUGGUGUGGAUAUAAUGGCAAUUCAUUUCGGUUUUUAUAAAUUUAUGGGGCCCACACGUGGCGCGGCAAUGAAGCAAGCAUAGCAGUGUAGCAAGAUGCGAUGCGAAGUGGAAAGAGACGUUAAGCACAGAGGGCAUUUAUCAUCUGAGGGAGACGCUUACUAACGCAUCCUUGAAAAAGUUAGACUCUCUUUGAAUUUCAGUUGCAUCUCUUUAAAAAUAAACGGUGGAAACCAAUGUCAAUUAUUGCAAAAUUGUAACCAAAAUUAUUGCCAUGUUGAAGAAGUAUACAUAGUUUUCUUCAAAACUAGUAAUCUGUAGCUCGUUGAGAGUUCAAAGUCAUAGCCCAGCCCAGGAGAAUGUUCCCUACUUGAAAGAAUUAAAAUUCUCAGUCGAAAUCCAAAUGGUUUAGCAGGAGAAUGCAUUGCACUGAGAACAAGUAUUUCUGGAUCUCGAUGAAGUGGCUGUCCACUUUCUUGGCCACAUUUCCUAGGAUGAAAGCAUUAAGGUGCUCUUCAUGGUCGAACUAUCACACAGCAUCUUAAAUAUCCAUUUAUUAUAUAUUUGAGACAAUUUUUAGACACUGGUCGUUUUUCACAGUUUUUUUUAAACAUGUUAAUUGAAGUGGGAUUGCACCACUUUCCCGACACCCUUUCCUCCUACAGUUCUUUGCAACUACUCUAUUUCAAACCCCUCCUGUGCCCCCCUUCAAUGUAAUAAUCUCUUUUUCAUUUAUUAUUAUUUAUAUGUAUGAAUGUAUAUGCACAAACAUAUAUAAAUAUGACGUGGUUAGUCUAUUUCUGUUGUUCGUAUGUAUGUAGUUGAAAGGCUGACCACUCUGCAUUGGACAUAAUAAGGGGUCACAAUUUUCAACAGUUAAAUUGUUUUAGGACCAUAAUCUCCUACUCUUCCAUUCCCAGUAUGGUUUCAGUGUGACUGAAAUAGCUAUCAGUCAAAGUAUUUAGGGCAGACGUUACUAUAAACUCAAAAACAUCAUCUUAUAAAAGUCUAGGAUCCUUUUUUUUAUAAAGAAAGGUGUUGAAAAGACAAGGAAAGAACCCAGAGGCAAAGGCCUAUGGAUGGUCGUGCCUUCGGGCAGGUGCCAACAGAAGCAAAGUGCUGGAGGCAAAGACCUAAGGAUGCCGAGGCUUGAGGGCAGACAUCAAGAGAGACAUGAAGGGUAAGGUUAAGAAGAGGUUUUGGAUUAUACUGCUAUCAGAUUCUUAGGACGUGUUACUAAAGGCUUCCUGGGAGAAGGCUGAUCUCAGGGUUGGUUCUGAAGUGGAGUUUCAGGCUUCCUGGGGUGGUGAACUGCAUGACUUCAACAAGCUUAUGCCUACUGCCUUUAGCUUCUCUUAGAGCAAAAGUCAGGAUGAGAGGCUGUUGUGAUAGAACACAGAGAAAGUGGUGCCUCUCCUGGCUUAGAUCCCCGGGGGCAGGACGAGAUUUUGAAGAGAUAAUAAGAUGUGAGGUAAAGGAGAAAUUGGAAGAAAAUAAGAGAAACUGUCCCUGGGCUCACAAACAAGGUUGUCUCUUGAAUGAGGAGGGGGGAAAAGAUUCCUUUGUCCAUGGAAUUCACCUGAAGCACUACUUCCCAUUAAGUGAAUGGGGGGACUUUUUUGCCAUAUGUGUAUUAGAUAGAUAUAUGUGAAUAUGCAUAUAUUAUAUAUGUAUAUGAUAUAUUGAAUCAUAUAUAUGAUCUAUUAUGUUACAUGUAUAUAGAAAAUAUAUAUUACAUAUGUAUAUGGGUGUAAUAUAUCUUAUACACAUAUGUGGAUAUAUGGCAUAUUAAUAUAUAUUGUAUAUUCAUUCAUAUGUGUAAUAUAUACUACAAUAGUAUUUACAGAUUAUGCAUGUAUCAGAAAAAGUAUGAGUGAGUUUGAAAUAGCAAAAGAAGGAAAGAAAAGAGAUGGAGGGGAGACAAGAAAACUGAUGCCAACUUUCUGUUAGAGUAUUCUCUAUCUUUCUUUGUCCUUUUCUGUAAUAUAUAGAAGAGAUACAGUAAUAAGUUUAUUGCCCACAGCACUUCAAACGGUAUCAAACACACGAGCAAAAACAUAUUUUUGUACAGUGAAGAAAAAUCUCUGAAAGGUUUAGAUCUUUUCUAGCCAGUGGACUCCCAUUCUUGAGUUAAAAUGUUAACAUAUAUUUGCCUUUAUAUUUACAGAAGAGUGAUGAUUUUCCUCUUUAAAAAGACAAUCCUUGGCCUCUGUUCAGGUCACUUUUGCAGUGCACAAGGGCAUAGGUUCAAUUCCCAAAACGACCCACAAAAAAAAAAUUAGCCUAACUGGAUGGGUGGUACAUAUCCCCAUCCCCAGCAAGUAGGAGCUGGAAGCAUCACAGAUUUCAAGCAUAAACAAGGCUUAUGUGAAACUAUAGCUCAAAAAUCUACACAUUACCUUUUAAAACAAAUAUUAAAUCCUAUUUGGGUAAUAAUGUUUCUGUCUUGAUCUACCAUUCCCUCUCCUACUCUUUCUUAUCUUUUCACCUCCUCAAUCUCUAAAGUAACAUACUGAACAUAGUUGAGGCACAUGGCAAACACAGGAAAAACAGGGGACACCUCAGAAUUAUGUCAUGUUAUGCCAUGCCUACUGAGAAGAAUGUUUAGAAACUUUUAGCAUAGGCUAAAGAUACAUAUACCCUAAGAGUUUAUAAUUGAUAUUGUUAAAGACUUUACAAAAUUUAUAUUUAAAAUACUAGUUAAAAUUUUACAUAAUAAACAUGUUUUCAAUACCUGGAAAAACCUUCCUUUGUACACAUUAUAAAUGUCUUUAGAAGAGUCAUAUUGUUUUUUUAAAGACUCAGACAGGUUGACAGACAUGGUGUUACGCACCUCUAAUCUAACAUUUAGGACAUCGAGUUCUGUGAAUUUGAGGGGAGCCUGGUUUUCAGAGUGAGUUUCAGGCCAGCCAGGGUUACAUAGUUAGACCCUGUCUCAGAAGAAAAAAGAAAAAAAGAAGAAAAUAAAAGAUUUACCCAAGUGAGUGUUGCUAUCUUGAACACUUUUAUUCUGGCUUUCUUAACUAACAACUCAGUGUCAAUGAAGAUUUAAAGCUCAUGAAGGAUUUAAUCCAUACUUGCAUAGGUGCUCCACAAAGCACAUGGGCAAGCUGAGAUAAUUAUGGAGCAAAAAUGCAGUCUUUGUAAGCCAUAAUUAUUUGAAAGUCAGUUAGUUCCUGAAUACAGUGGAAAGUGGUUGCUUUAACCUUUGGCAAAAGUAACUUACCUCCACGUCUCACCAAGGUGAAUCUUCACCUAAUAUAUCUUAGCAAAAUAAAUACAUUUGGUCCUUUCUUAAUAUAGCAAUGCGAAGGGAAAUCAGAUAGAAGAGAAUAACCUAUUGCAUCCAAUGGUCCAAAGUCAACUCUUUUUUUAUUUCACCAGUAAAGACAGAUUAAUUUUCUCUCUUGCCUUGGCAUUUAUGAAUGCUAAUUUAAUCACAAAACUUUAGACUUCCUGUGAGAGAAUUCAAAGCCACAUUGUGAACAUGAUUUUCACAUAAGCUUUGUUCCUUUCUCCAAAAUUAGAAAGUAAAAUAAAAAAAAAAUUCAUGCCUGUAUUAGACCUUGGGCAAAAUUAGCAUAGCCCUGCCAUCUCUUGUUAGUUGAUUCAGUCCUCUGGGGAAUCAUGUCACCAUCUGGACUGGAGUGCAUAUGGUCAGAGGGAGGCCUGAGAGAGUGUCCUCAAGAAGACCCCAACUGACUGAGCCACCUGUUACCAGGAUAAGUGAGGGCAAAAGACUUUGUGUCGAAUUCACCACAGUCUGUCCCUCAUCCUCAGAAAGUCUGUCCUUUCACAUCAAGACACAGCUUUAAGAGCAGAAGAUUGACUCAGUGGGACUGAGAUCGUGAGUCUCCCCAACAGAACAAUUGUAAAGGAUGGUCUGUUAUGAGCAGCAGACAAAGAAGUCAGUCUGGGGGUGUCCGGAAGGUAGAGGUUGCUGGCUUGGAGAUUCAGGAAGGCAGGAAUUAUUCGGAUCACAGAUGCUCAGGAAAACCAUAAGCGCAGCAACUGUAAACAAGGCUAGGGCUACAGAAUCUAGGCAGAGAUGAUCAUUUAUGUCCCAUGUGACAAAAUAUGGGACAAGGGAAAGGGCAACAGAAGGGAUUUUAAUGGCCAGAGACCGAUGAGGGUCUGUGCUCCUCUGUGCCUCCUGAGGAAUAGACAGCAAAGAGACAAAAAUUAUUGGCUUUCCAAAGAUCUCAGGACAGCCUCCCCUGAGGUAUCUACAAAGAAACAGGUAUGAUCUCAAGAGGAAGCAGGAAAAAAUUGAAGCUCUAUUGUUGUGGAGGUGAGAACCACAAACAGCAAAACACAGGCAUUUGCACUGAUAAAAACUUACAAAAUUCCAAUCUCUCAACAGUACUGAAAUUGCCAUCAGUCUCCACUGACACAAACUCCUUCCAGAAGUUUUUGCUCACAGCCAGGCACAGCUUCUUUUUGGAAUUCUUCUGUUCACAAGGGUAGCACAAACAUUUCACCAGAAUAAUUUUGACUCCGUUUUU